CGAAGGCGUUGAAUCGAGAGGUUGCGACACGCCAGGGAGCAUUGCCAUGGUGGCGUGUUGGAUAUUUUCGAGGAGCUAUGUCUACUUUUUAAAAUAGGCGAAGGAGGGAACAAAAUGGCAA
rfam:Vagococcus teuberi strain DSM 21459, complete genome.